rnacentral:rRNA from 1 species
GAUGAACGCUGGCGGCGUGCCUAAUACAUGCAAGUCGAGCGAACGGACGAGAAGCUUGCUUCUCUGAUGUUAGCGGCGGACGGGUGAGUAACACGUGGAUAACCUACCUAUAAGACUGGGAUAACUUCGGGAAACCGUAGCUAAUACCGGAUAAUAUUUUGAACCGCAUGGUUCAAAAGUGAAAGACGGUCUUGCUGUCACUUAUAGAUGGAUCCUCGCUGCAUUAGCUAGUUGGUAAGGUAACGGCUUACCAAGGCAACGAUGUAUAGCCGACCUGAGAGGGUGAUCGGACACACUGGAACUGAGACACGGUACAGACUCCUACGGGAGGCAGCAGUAGGGAAUCUUCCGCAAUGGGCGAAAGCAUGACGGAGCAACGCCGCGUGAGUGAUGAAGGUCUUCGGAUCGUAAAACUCUGUUAUUAGGGAAGAACAUAUGUGUAAGUAACUGUGCACAUCUUGACGGUAACUAAUCAGAAAGCCACGGCUAACUACGUG